rnacentral:rRNA from 1 species
UACGUAGGGUGCAAGCGUUGUCCGGAAUUAUUGGGCGUAAAGAGCGUGUAGGCGGCCAGGUAGGUCUGCUGUGAAAACUCGAGGCUCAACCUCGAGACGUCGGCGGAAACCAUCUGGCUAGAGUCCGGAAGAGGAGAGUGGAAUUCCUGGUGUAGCGGUGAAAUGCGCAGAUAUCAGGAAGAACACCUAUGGCGAAGGCAGCACUCUGGGACGGUACUGACGCUGAGACGCGAAAGCGUGGGGAGCGAACAGG